GUGCUCACUUCGGCAGCACAUAUACUAAUAUUGGAACGAUACAGAAAAGAUUAGCAUGGCCCCUGCGCAAGGAUGAUACGCAAAAACGCUCCGACUUCACUU
ensembl:snRNA U6 U6 spliceosomal RNA